UACGAAGGGUGCAAGCGUUGUUCGGAAUUACUGGGCGUAAAGGGCGUGUAGGUGGAUUAAUCAGUCAGGAGUGAAAUCCCGGGGCUUAACCUCGGAAUUGCUUUUGAGACGGUCAAUCUAGAGUGUAUUAGGGGACAAUGGAACACCCAGUGUAGAGGUGAAAUUCGUAGAUAUCGGGUAGAACACCGGAGGCGAAGGCGAUUGUCUGGGGUACAACUGACGCUGAGGCGCGAAAGCGUGGGGAUCAAAC
rnacentral:rRNA from 1 species